rnacentral:rRNA from 1 species
GAUGAACGCUGGCGGCGUGCUUAACACAUGCAAGUCGAACGGAAAGGCCCAAGUUUGCUUGGGUACUCGAGUGGCGAACGGGUGAGUAACACGUGGGUGAUCUGCCCUGCACUUCGGGAUAAGCCUGGGAAACUGGGUCUAAUACCGGAUAGGACCACUUCUUGGAUGUUGUGGUGGAAAGUUUUUUCGGUGUGGGGUGGGCUCGCGGCCUAUCUGCUUGUUGGGGGGGUGAUGGCCUACCAAGGCGUUGGCGGGUGGCCGGCCUGGGGGGGGGGACGGGCACAAUUGGACUGGGGUACGGCCCCGACCCCUACCGGGGGCAACCGGUGGGAAUAUUGCACAAUGGGCGCGAGCCUGAUGCAGCGACGCCGGGGUGGGGAAGACCGCCUUCGGGUUGUAAACUCCUUUCGCUAGGGACGAAGCGGUGUGUGACGGUACCUGGAGAAGAAGCACCGGCUAACUACGUG